AUUCCUACGGGAGGCAGCAGUGGGGAAUUUUCCGCAAUGGGCGAAAGCCUGACGGAGCAAUACCGCGUGAGGGAAGACUGCCUAUGGGUUGUAAACCUCUUUUUUCAGGGAGGAAUAAAUGACGUGUACCUGAAGAAUAAGCAUCGGCUAACUCCGUGCCAGCAGCCGCGGUAAGACGGAGGAUGCAAGUGUUAUCCGGAAUCACUGGGCGUAAAGCGUCUGUAGGUGGUUUAAUAAGUCAACUGUUAAAUCUUGAGGCUCAACUUCAAAAUCGCAGUCGAAACUAUUAGACUAGAGUAUAGUAGAGGUAAAGGGAAUUUCCAGUGGAGCGGUGAAAUGCGUAGAGAUUGGAAAGAACACCGAUGGCGAAAGCACUUUACUGGGCUAUUACUAACACUCAGAGACGAAAGCUAGGGUAGCAAAUGGGAUUAGAUACCCCAGUAGUCCUAGCCGUAAACAAUGGAUACUAGAUGUUGGACAGAUCGACCUGUGCAGUAUCAAAGCUAACGCGUUAAGUAUCCCGCCUGGGAAGUAUGCUCGCAAGAGUGAAACUCAAAGGAAUUGACGGAAU
rnacentral:rRNA from 1 species